UGCUUAACUACUGUAUAAUUGUCAGUGUGAUGUGUACAUAUGGAAGUAUAGUCAUUGUUGUCUUAGUCAACACAUGGUUCAAUGAUUAACAGAACAAUGUAUUUUAUUCAAUUUGCUUCCAGAGUUGGCGUGUUUGGAGAGUCUUGAGAUUUCUUGCAGUAAAGUCACUAAUUUUGGCAUCAGCUUUCUAAAUGGUUGCAAAAGCUUUCCUUACUAAACUUGGAAGGGUGCCUUGUAACAGCUGCAUGCUUGGAUUCUCUUGCAGGUUUAAUUGCUUGAUAUACUUUUAUGCUUAUUAUGUUGCUGAUCUAGAAAAUUGGUCGCUUUAUUAUAUUCCCUAGAAACAAUACAACUAUACAACUACUAAACCUAUAAA